rnacentral:tRNA from 1 species
UGAAGUUUAGAAUAAAAAAAAUUCUUUACUUUGUCAAAGUAAGAAUACAUAAAUUAGUUAUAUGUAACUUUAU